GUGUAGGGGAGGCAUGGGUCCAGUUUCCCACCCCUAACUUAGACCCCAGCAGCUGUGCCUCUUUAAAUGACCCACACUCAGUUUAAUAUUUGUCACUAUGGUGUUCAGUGAGGCGCUUAGGGCUGUAAAGAUAGCUCUGAAAUCUUGUGGAAAGCGACUUUUUUAUCUGCCCUUUUAACCAUUAGCAAUGGUCUCAACUUAAUGACAAGGCAACAAUGAACCCAGUUAGCUGGGUUUUCCCCUGGAUUCUUGGUUUAAAAAAACAACAACCCUGGGGCCAUCUGGGACAUGAGGUGGCCUGGAUUUCAAGGCUCUCAAGCUUUCGUAGAUCUGAAGGUAUGAGACAAAGAUUUGCAGGCAGUGGAGUUGUUCUAUUAGGGCAAACGGGCACUGCCCUACAAACUUCCAUUUGCCCCACCUGCCUGCCUUCUUACUUACAUACAACCACUCCUUUGCCUCUCUCCUUCCUUCUCCUUAGUAUCAGUGUUGCCCUUGUGGAACUCAGCAGAGAAGAGGAGGAUGGGACAAAAUCAACGUUAGUCGGCUCUGCCUGUCAUUUGCUUUGGCGCCACCUACUGUUGGGCUCCUUGCCUUCUGCCCUACCAGUCGCAAUGGGCAUACCAGCCACUAUUAAUCUGUAGCAGCAUUUUGCCCCACGGUUUAGUGCAGGGAUGGGGCAAAACUGUGACCUUCCAGAUGUUGUGCAACUCACGGCCAGCUCUACCAUUGGGUGGAGUGAGGAGCUGAUUUUGGAUGUUAUGGAAGGGCAGCCAAUUGUUAGUAAUUUCAUUUGUUACUGACCUAUGUUUACUGCCAAGAA